CCUACGGGAGGCUGCAGUGGGGAAUAUUGGACAAUGGGCGAAAGCCUGAUCCAGCCAUGCCGCGUGUGUGAAGAAGGCCUUCGGGUUGUAAAGCACUUUCAGUGGGGAAGAAAGCCUUGGGGCUAAUACCCUCGAGGAAGGACAUCACCCACAGAAGAAGCACCGGCUAACUCCGUGCCAGCAGCCGCGGUAAUACGGAGGGUGCGAGCGUUAAUCGGAAUUACUGGGCGUAAAGCGCGCGUAGGCGGUCUGAUAAGCCGGUUGUGAAAGCCCCGGGCUCAACCUGGGAACGGCAUCCGGAACUGUCAGACUAGAGUGCAGGAGAGGAAGGUAGAAUUCCCGGUGGAGCGGUGAAAUGCGUAGAGAUCGGGAGGAAUACCAGUGGCGAAGGCGGCCUUCUGGACUGACACUGACGCUGAGGUGCGAAAGCGUGGGUAGCAAACAGGAUUAGAUACCCCAGUAGUC
rnacentral:rRNA from 1 species